AACGAACGCUGGCGGCAGGCUUAACACAUGCAAGUCGAACGCCCCGCAAGGGGAGUGGCAGACGGGUGAGUAACGCGUGGGAAUCUACCCAUCUCUGUGGAAUAGCUCCGGGAAACUGGAAUUAAUACCGCAUACGCCCUACGGGGGAAAGAUUUAUCGGGGAUGGAUGAGCCCGCGUUGGAUUAGCUAGUUGGUGGGGUAAAGGCCUACCAAGGCGACGAUCCAUAGCGGGUCUGAGAGGAUGAUCAGCCACAUUGGGACUGAGACACGGCCCAAACUCCUACGGGAGGCAGCAGUGGGGAAUAUUGGACAAUGGGCGCAAGCCUGAUCCAGCCAUGCCGCGUGAGUGAUGGAGGCCUAGGGUUGUAAAGCUCUUUCACCGGUGAAGAUAAUGACGGUAACCGGAGAAGAAGCCCCGGCUAACUUCGUGCCAGCCGCCGCCGUAACAC
rnacentral:rRNA from 1 species